GGAUUUCUUCAUCUGCGUGGUUUUCUGGAGAGUCCAGACUGCAGACUGCAGACUCUGAGGUUGAAGUGGUGCAGAUUGUCAAAGAUCAGCUGUGCUGCUCUGGUCACAACUCUGAAUUUAAACCCGUCCCACCUGACAGAACUGGACCUGAGGAACAACAACCUUCAUUCUUCAGAUGUUCAGCAGCUCCAGGAUCUGGUGGAGAGUCCAAACUCCAAACUGCAGACUCUGAGCUGGGAGGGAGAAGUUCUUCUCUUUACCCCCUUUUUGCUAUGAAAGCAUUAGCAGCAGCUGGUCUGCAGAGAUGUUGUUCCUGGAGGUGGAGAGCAGAGUGAUGGAGGAAUCAGAGGAAGUAGAGAUGAGUGUCAGAGCUGCAGCAUGAACUGAUCUGAGAUCUUUUCUGGUGUUUCUUGGACUCCUGCAUGUCUCUGUACCACAGAGUGGACCAGCAUUCUCUGAACAUCUUUCAGCUGGUCCAGAAAGCAGCAGCAUGGCUGUUGACCAAAGAAAGAAAACCUUCCAGCAGUUCUGGCCUCAGGAUUCUCCAUCUGGGAGCAUUUUGGUUCUUCUUUUUCAUCUUUAUCAGACCUUUCAGAACCACAAAGUGGACUGAGUUCCUCUGAUUAAAGGCUGCUGGGUUUUGUAUUUUGUUCAUUAAUUUACAGGAUGUUGUUCUAUUGUAACCAUGGUAACCGUGGGAACCACACUCCUGUUUACUCUGAGUCCUGAAGCAGAAAUCCCACCAGAACUAACAAAAGUCUCUCAGUUGAAUCAUUUUUAUAUCAUCUCUGUUCUGUUGAUGAUCAAAUAUUGACUCAUGCAGUUUGAAAGACUCACAGUUUUAGUUUGAUGUUUUCUACAGUUUUAUGAUUGAACUUCCUUUUUCUUUGGUGUUUUGUGUGUAAAACUCUGUUCUUUUUCAUGCUGACAACAUUUUUAGCUGCAGUUUUUAAAGAAGUUUCAUCUAAAUCCAGUAGAAUCUGAUCAUUUUCUAGAAAGUCUGAAACUAGUAGAAACUUUCUGAGCAUAAAGCCUGUUUUCUCCAGAGGACAUGAAUGAACAGAGUGGAUGUUAGUGAGGAAUGACAGAGAAUCACUUUGAUGCAGCUGCUUCAACAACACUAACUGCAUUGAAGCAGGAGGGAGAAGGGAGACACCUGCUGGCUGUUUCCAGAACUGCAUCUUAGUGUCUAAAGGUUCAAACUGAAAGCUGUCUGUCAAAUUCCUGCAGCCUGUUUGGAUCUAAUAAAUGCUCUUUUCAAUCAACACUGUUUGAGAUUGAUUUAGUCUUCAUUCUAUCUUUGACUCACAAACAGACUUUAAUCUUUAGCCUUCCCCUCAUCCUGUUAAAGCUGUUCUAAUAUUCAUGUGUUUGCUUCAUUCUCAGUAGAAUUGGGUUGAAAAGAGCUUUGGAAUGUUCAGUUGGUGCUGAUGUCGUUCUAGAUGGGGGGGCAGAACAGAUGAGAGCUCCUCCCUCCUGAUUCAGAGGGGAACUGUGAGCAGCAGCUGAAAGGAGGGAGUGGAAAUGGGAAAAGUUCUCUGGACAUUUCUCCUUUCCAGGGAAGUCUCUGAGGAUGUGGUGGUGACGGUUGCUGCCAUGUUGUGUUGUUGUUGGUCCUUACCAGUCAGAGAAACACACAACUUUAUUAAUAAAAAAAGAACACACAAUCACGACAGUUCCUGUAUAGCAGAGACUCUCUCAGGGUCUGAUUACAGGGAGGAGCUAACAAACACAUCCACACAUGCAGGGGGCGGAGCUCUGUUCAGGCGUCCUUGAACCAGGAAACGAGGAAGUUUAGUGUUUUUCUCCAUGUUAGAGCAGGAAGAGACGAGGCUCCAACUUUCUUCUUCAAACAUAGAAACAUUCACAAACACUAUUGAAAACAUGUUUGUUAAUAUUUCAAAAAAGGUCAUAUUUCUAUGUGGGGAUUUUAAUAUAGAUCUGUUAAACCCAAAUAAACAGAUGAUUUCACUCAUCAAAUGUGCAGUCUGAGCUUAUAUCCAUUCAUCAAUAAACCAAGUAGAAUAACAACAAAUAGUGCAACCUUAAUUGAUAACAUAUUCACAAAGUGCCUAGAAAACAGAAUAAGAAGUGGAUUACUGAUGACUGACAUCAGUGACCACCUUCCGGUAUUUGCCAACUAUGAAUGUGUUUGUAGAGAAACAAAAGAGAAACAGCAGGUGGUUUACAAAAGAAAACUAACAGAGGAGUCAAUAAAUGAAUUUAAAUCAGAACUACAAGCACAAACUUGGAAAACCCUGUACGAAUGUAAUAAUGUCAAUGCAGCUUACGACAAAUUUAUGCAGGAUUUUACCUGAAUAUAUGACAAAAACUGCCCGAUUACUAAAUCCUGUAGUAAGAAACAAUAUAACAAAAAUCAGUGGAUGACAAAGGGACUGAUUAAUGCAUGCACCAAAAGAACGGUUUAUACAAACAAUUUUUAAAAGACAGAACUGUUGAAGCGGAACAGCGAUAUAAAAAAUAUAAAAAAAAACUAACCAGUAUUAUGAGAACAUGCAAAAAAGACUAUUGUUCAAAAAUUUUAGAAAAAAUAAAUCAAAUACUAAAGGAAUCUGGAAAGUAUUGAACAAUGUUAUUAGAAAACACAAAGAGAAAACAAAUUAUCCAGACUCUUUAGUCAGUAGAAACGAAAUAUACAACAAUAUUCAGGACAUGACAAAGGAAUUUAACAAAUAUUUUGUAAAAAUAGGAUCAAAGUUAGCUGACGAAAUAAAUCAUACAAAUGAAUCUGUAAAGGAAACAGCUGAACACCACAUAAAGAGAAAUCCAAACUCCAUCUAUUUGAGACCUGUAGAA